AUUGAACGCUGGCGGCGUGCCUCAGACAUGCAAGUCGAACGAUUAAAGCUCUCUUCGGAGAGUGCAUAGAGUGGCGCACGGGUGAGUAACACGUAAGUAAUCUACCCUCGAGUGGGGAAUAACGUCCGGAAACGGACGCUAAUACCGCAUAAUGCAGCGGCACCGCAAGGUGACAGUUGUUAAAGAUUUAUCGCUUGAGGAGGAGCUUGCGGCAGAUUAGCUAGUUGGUAAGGUAAUGGCUUACCAAGGCUACGAUCUGUAACCGGUCUAAGAGGACGGUCGGUCACACUGACACUGAAUAACGGGUCAGACUCCUACGGGAGGCAGCAGUCGGGAAUUUUGGGCAAUGGGCGAAAGCCUGACCCAGCAACGCCGCGUGAAGGAUGAAGUAUUUCGGUAUGUAAACUUCGAAAGAAUAGGAAGAAUUAAUGACGGUACUAUUUAUAAGGUCCGGCUAACUACGUGCCAGCCGCCGCAGUAAAAC
rnacentral:rRNA from 1 species